rnacentral:rRNA from 1 species
UACGAAGGGGGCUAGCGUUGCUCGGAAUCACUGGGCGUAAAGGGUGCGUAGGCGGGUCUUUAAGUCUGUUGUGAAAGCCCUGGGCUCAACCUGGGAAUGGCGAUGGAUACUGGCGAGCUAGAGUACGGUAGAGGAUGGUGGAAUUCCCGGUGUAGCGGUGAAAUGCGUAGAGAUCGGGAGGAACAUCAGUGGCGAAGGCGGCCAUCUGGACCAGUACUGACGCUGAGGCACGAAAGCGUGGGGAGCAAACAGG